rnacentral:rRNA from 1 species
UACGAACCGUCCAAACGUUAUUCGGAAUCACUGGGCUUAAAGGGUGCGUAGGCGGCCCGGGAAGUUGGGUGUGAAAUCCCUCGGCUUAACCGAGGAAUUGCGCUCAAAACUGCCGGGCUUGAGGGAGAUAGAGGUGAGCGGAACUUAGGGUGGAGCGGUGAAAUGCGUUGAUAUCCUAAGGAACACCGGGGGCGAAAGCGGCUCACUGGGUCUUUUCUGACGCUGAGGCACGAAAGCUAGGGGAGCGAACGGG